UAAACAUUCUGUGCAAGAGAAGAAAUCUUGAUGAUGAAUCAAGGAAGAUACCACUAAAAUACCAGCGCUAUACCAAUCAGAAAAGUUAAGUAUACUACGAUGAAAAAGAGAUUUUAUUCAAAAAAUAAGUAUUGCAUUAGAUUGGUUUGCUUCUCUGAAAAACAAAGAGAGAACCUCUAGAACCUUUUCCAAGUCUGAACUUCUCAUCUAUGUAUGUAAUCUCCAGCUUCACUUCACUCCCCCCACCAUCCGUGAACUCCAGUCCUCCAACCUUGAGUUCAGGUGGCUCAAACACUACUUGAAUCCAUUUUCCGUCCAGAGCAGUUAGUUUCCUUGCACAUUAACUCAAGAAUUAAGCC
rnacentral:lncRNA from 1 species